CGGGUUUACUCCUGGAUGUUACCGAUUCGUCCGGCCGGAGCCGGACGGCGUUUUGGUGUCUGAUUCGGUCAACGAAUCGGGAGCACCAUCUGCGUAGGCUUGAGAGGAUCGCCUCCCGGGUUUAAGGCUUGCGCCGCCUACGGUCUUGGAUAGCCCCCGCCAGGCAGGGACCCCAAUACCUGCGAGCAAUGGGCGAACCCACUGCUCGA
rfam:Pseudomonas denitrificans ATCC 13867, complete genome.